rnacentral:rRNA from 1 species
ACGGUCUCAGUUCGGACUGAAGGCUGAAAUUCGCCUUCACGAAGUCGGAAUUGCUAGUAAUGGCAGGUCAGCAUACUGCCGUGAAUACGUUCCCGGGCCUUGUACACACCGCCCGUCACACCAUGAGAGUUUGUAACACCCAAAGCCGGUGGGGUAACCUUUUGGAGCCAGCCGUCUAAGGUGGGACAGAUGAUUAGGGUGAAGUCGUAACAAGGUACC